GCUGGCGGCGUGCUUAACACAUGCAAGUCGAACGGAAAGGCCCUGCUUUUGUGGGGUGCUCGAGUGGCGAACGGGUGAGUAACACGUGAGUAACCUGCCCUUGACUUUGGGAUAACUUCAGGAAACUGGGGCUAAUACCGGAUAGGAGCUCCUGCUGCAUGGUGGGGGUUGGAAAGUUUCGGCGGUUGGGGAUGGACUCGCGGCUUAUCAGCUUGUUGGUGGGGUAGUGGCUUACCAAGGCUUUGACGGGUAGCCGGCCUGAGAGGGUGACCGGCCACAUUGGGACUGAGAUACGGCCCAGACUCCUACGGGAGGCAGCAGUGGGGAAUAUUGCACAAUGGGCGGAAGCCUGAUGCAGCAACGCCGCGUGCGGGAUGACGGCCUUCGGGUUGUAAACCGCUUUCGCCUGUGACGAAGCGUGAGUGACGGUAAUGGGUAAAGAAGCACCGGCUAACUACGUGCCAGCAGCCGCGGUGAUACGUAGGGUGCGAGCGUUGUCCGGAUUUAUUGGGCGUAAAGGGCUCGUAGGUGGUUGAUCGCGUCGGAAGUGUAAUCUUGGGGCUUAACCCUGAGCGUGCUUUCGAUACGGGUUGACUUGAGGAAGGUAGGGGAGAAUGGAAUUCCUGGUGGAGCGGUGGAAUGCGCAGAUAUCAGGAGGAACACCAGUGGCGAAGGCGGUUCUCUGGGCCUUUCCUGACGCUGAGGAGCGAAAGCGUGGGGAGCGAACAGGCUUAGAUACCCUGGUAGUCCACGCUGUAAACGGUGGGUACUAGGUGUGGGGUCCAUUCCACGGGUUCCGUGCCGUAGCUAACGCUUUAAGUACCCCGCCUGGGGAGUACGGCCGCAAGGCUAAAACUCAAAGGAAUUGACGGGGCCCCGCACAAGCGGCGGAGCAUGCGGAUUAAUUCGAUGCAACGCGUAGAACCUUACCUGGGUUUGACAUGGAUCGGGAGUGCUCAGAGAUGGGUGUGCCUCUUUUGGGGUCGGUUCACAGGUGGUGCAUGGCUGUCGUCAGCUCGUGUCGUGAGAUGUUGGGUUAAGUCCCGCAACGAGCGCAACCCUUGUUCACUGUUGCCAGCACGUUAUGGUGGGGACUCAGUGGAGACCGCCGGGGUCAACUCGGAGGAAGGUGGGGAUGACGUCAAGUCAUCAUGCCCCUUAUGUCCAGGGCUUCACGCAUGCUACAAUGGCUGGUACAGAGAGUGGCGAGCCUGUGAGGGUGAGCGAAUCUCGGAAAGCCGGUCUCAGUUCGGAUUGGGGUCUGCAACUCGACCUCAUGAAGUCGGAGUCGCUAGUAAUCGCAGAUCAGCAACGCUGCGGUGAAUACGUUCCCGGGGCUUGUACACACCGCCCGUCAAGUCAUGAAAGUUGGUAACACCCGAAGCCGGUGGCCUAACCGUUGUGGGGGAGCCGUCGAAGGUGGGACUGG
rnacentral:rRNA from 1 species